rnacentral:rRNA from 1 species
UUUACGGAGAGUUUGAUCCUGGCUCAGGAUGAACGCUGGCGGCGUGCUUAACACAUGCAAGUCGAACGGUGAAAGAGAGCUUGCUCUCUGGAUCAGUGGCGAACGGGUGAGUAACACGUGAGCAAUCUGCCCCUGACUCUGGGAUAACAGCUGGAAACAGCUGCUAAUACCGGAUACGAGCUGCGAAGGCAUCUUCAGCAGCUGGAAAGAAUUUCGGUCAGGGAUGAGCUCGCGGCCUAUCAGCUUGUUGGUGAGGUAAUGGCUCACCAAGGCGUCGACGGGUAGCCGGCCUGAGAGGGUGACCGGCCACACUGGGACUGAGACAC